rnacentral:rRNA from 1 species
GAUCAUGGCUCAGGAUGAACGCUAGCGACAGGCUUAACACAUGCAAGUCGAGGGGCAGCGAGGGAGUGGCAACACUCCUGUCGGCGACCGGCGCACGGGUGAGUAACGCGUAUGCAACCUGCCCUUCACAGGGGGAUAACCGGGAGAAAUUCCGACUAAUACCGCAUACGUCCUCCGGGGCGAUCCUUCGGGGGUAGGUGAAAGAAAUUAAUUCGGUUGGAAGGAAGUGGGCGAUGCGUGAUAUUAGGUAGUUGGCGGGG